UUUCCGUAGGUGAACCUGCGGAAGGAUCAUUAUUGAAUUUGCAACGGGGGCGCCCUGUCUGGCCUGCGCCGGUGGCGACGCCGUGUCGCGGUCUGCUCGGCGCCCUCUUCCAAACCCAAACCCCUGUGAACCUUUGGGAGGGCGCGACGCGUUCGCGAAGCGCCCUCUCGUUUCCUUAACCAACUCUGAUGUCUAUUUGAAUGUGCGAAUCGGUGCAGCCCCGAUGUCGAAUUUGAAACAACUUUCAACAACGGAUCUCUUGGCUCUCGCAUCGAUGAAGAACGCAGC
rnacentral:misc_RNA from 1 species